GGGGAAUUUUGGACAAUGGGGGCAACCCUGAUCCAGCCAUCCCGCGUGUGCGAUGAAGGCCUUCGGGUUGUAAAGCACUUUUGGCAGGGAAGAAACAGCCUGGGCUAAUAUCCCGGGCGACUGACGGUACCUGCAGAAUAAGCACCGGCUAACUACGUGCCAGCAGCCGCGGUAAUACGUAGGGUGCAAGCGUUAAUCGGAAUUACUGGGCGUAAAGCGUGCGCAGGCGGUUCGGAAAGAAAGGUGUGAAAUCCCAGGGCUUAACCUUGGAACUGCACUUUUAACUACCGGGCUAGAGUACGUCAGAGGGUGGUAGAAUUCCACGUGUAGCAGUGACAUGCGUAGAGAUGUGGAGGAAUACCGAUGGCGAAGGCAGCCCCCUGGGAUGAUACUGACGCUCAUGCACGAAAGCGUGGGGAGCAAACA
rnacentral:rRNA from 1 species